UACGUAGGGGGCAAGCGUUAUCCGGAUUUACUGGGUGUAAAGGGAGCGCAGGCGGCACGGCAAGCCUGAUGUGAAAGCCCGCGGCCCAACCGCGGGACUGCAUUGGGAACUACCGGGCUGGAGUGCCGGAGAGGUAGGCGGAAUUCCUAGUGUAGCGGUGAAAUGCGUAGAUAUUAGGAGGAACACCAGUGGCGAAGGCGGCCUACUGGACGGUGACUGACGCUGAGGCUCGAAAGCGUGGGGAGCAAACGGG
rnacentral:rRNA from 1 species